rnacentral:lncRNA from 1 species
GAAGCAGAUCAUAGUGGAAGGAUGGAGGCUUCCUCAAAUUGAACUCUUUCUGCUGAGCAAGCUGAGAUGCAACACUAUGAUCAAAGUAGUAGAGAACAGCAAUCAUCGUUGCUGGUAUGAAGGCACCAAUGAUAUAUAGAAGCGGAACAUGUGUCAUAUCCUGCUCAUUUUAUUGAUGAAAAAAUAAUUGAUAAGCAACGAUGUUUCACAUGAAGAAACUUAACGUUUCGAAUCUUUUGGUGAAUGUUAGAGUACCUUGACAACAGUCCAAUUGUCAUAUGCACCAGGGGACCAUGGGUUAGGGCUGAAAAGGCGUCGUGGAAUUCCUUUUGGUACACUUCCGUAUGGUAUGUAAGAAACUCCAGUCCAUACUAGUACCAUCAAUGGAACACCGUAGUCAG